rnacentral:lncRNA from 1 species
GGGAGGAGUCUGAUCCCAAAGACCAGAGUUCAGAUCCCCUGCGCUUCUUGUGCAUUUCCCCAGAAAGAGCCACUGCCCAAGGUGCACUUUCUGCUGUUUCUGUGCCAUCCCCACCCCCAUCUAGAGGAGCUUAAGGAGGUCCCCUGUGCAUUGUCAUUUAAGUCCUCCCACCCACUCCUAACACAGAGGUGAGCGCAUCCCUUCUUCAAUGCUAUCCCUACAGCGGCAAAUCACUAUUUUGAGUUUCCCUCCAAAGCUCAUCUCUAUAAGGCCCCAAGAAGAAAACCUCCACCCCCCAAUUAACAAGGCAGUGGAGGCUGCAUCAGUACUCCCAGGGUUCAAGCUGGGCUGGCAAGAUCACAAUAAGAGAGCCGACCGACCGGAAUCCUCCAGCUUAAAAGAGGCAGUUAACCAGACACAAACGCACGCACGCACGCGAGCACGCACCGAGGCAAGGACUAAGCUUAAACUCAUCCUUGAGUCCGUGGGGUCUCCUCCUGCCCGAGCCUGUGGACCAGCCCAAAGCCAGGUCCUGAUGGCGAGUUGGAUGUCGCUCAGGGCUGAGAGCCCAAUUGGCUGCAUGUCCUGCCUGGAUGCCGGCAAGUUGCAGACUGCUGCUGGCGAGGCAGGACCCGAAAUAAGAAGUGUCAGCUGGGUCCCUGCACCCAGAUGAUGCCAGGAGUCAACGCUGCAGGCGCCGGGAUGGUCUCUCUCCUCCCCCCUCUGCACCCUCCCACCCCCGGUUUAAUUUAAACCCCUGACACUGCAAGAUGUGACUCCUGCAUCUCCAAAGAACCUCCUUACCAAAGAACCUCCAAGGCUUUGCCCCACCUCCCACUUUUGUUCACCUGAAGAUGCUUUUCUUGCAAAAAAAAAAAAAAAAAAAAAAAAAAAAAAAAAAGACGGGGACUGCAGAAUCCUUAAUUCCUUCUUUCCUGGGACCACAUUUUGGAGGUGCGACUUGUUCAGAAGUUUGGGGAUUGCAGUCAGAUGCCCAGGAAGGAGCAGAGGCAACGAGUGACAAGUCGGCGAGGCUUCAGAUAAAAUCUUCACCAUCACUUUAUCCCCAAGAGAAGGACAGAGGUGGACCCAGGGGGAAAAGUAUAGGAAAAUUCCUCUCUGUCUGCCGGCACAUCUUCAACAGUUUGGGCAACCUCUCGUUUUGCUUUCCUUCAAGAAAACUCCAAUUUCAAAAUUGGCAGGCACACGAAAUACACAAGAUGGCCACGAAGGGUAAAUGUUGUCCUGACACGGCCACGCGUCUUAAAGUUUUUGCUCCCACCUCUGUGCAAGUUAAUAUCACUUAAGAUUUAACUGGGAAAAUUCCAGGAGAGAGAAGCACUUUAAAGGCAGAUGUGAUGAAAAGAGCCCAUCCUACUAUCCAUCAGCCACAAGAGAUAAAGCAGGAGAGAGACGUGGAGAAGGGGGUGAAGGGAGAAGAAAGGAUUUCCCCAGAUUUUGAAUUUAAGGCAAACUCAGAGUCUGAGGAAGGACAAUUAAGGAGAAAGUGGUGGAGGAGGGGACUAAGAUGCCUCAAUACAUUGUUCAGAGGGACCUACUGCAUCCAUUUCGCGUACAUUUCAUUACUGAAGUAAAACUGGUGUGUGACUUGUUUCUGAGCAGGCCAGCGGGGAGGGCUCUGCGGUGGCGUGCCGCCUG